rnacentral:lncRNA from 1 species
AAAAUGAUAGUAAUAAUAAUAAUGAUAAUAAUAAUGGGAGAAGGACUUAGGGUCUUUCUGGCUAAGGUUGCUACUUUGAAGUCACUAUUUCUGCUUCUUUGGUGCAGAUAAAGAAGCAGUUGGCCUUGUCAGUGUUUCAGUGCUCCAUGUCAUGGAGCUUCUCUCCAUAUUGGGUUGUGGCCACAGUCAAAUAACACCUGCCUUGGGAAGGUAGUAUUGGCAAGUUGUACCAUAUAUAGUACUUUGUACAUAACAAAAUACAUUUUGCCUUCUGUCUUCCUGCCUGCAUUGAGCCCAAUUCUGCAUUUUUGAUUCUUAUAGAUUUUAGAUUGACCCUACUUUCAUGGAUGAAAUUAAUUAGUCUCUUUUCUUUCUUCCUUUUUUUCCCCUUUAGUUGCAAACUAUAGAAACCAUUUGGGCUGGUUUGAGCAUAAAAGGAAAUUACUGGGAGUUAUUAGGUGCUCGGUGAUUCAUUGGGAGGUCUGGCAAAAAAGAAGCUCAAGGCUAAGCUCAUAGGAACACAGCCCGGCAUCUCACACAGAAGUGGCUUGAUGAGGAUUCUACUGCCUCCACAGCUCCUGCCAUCAUCUUCAUCUGCACCAUAGAUGCUCAGAACCCAGUCUGUGUCUGCAUGUUGCUGACUUCCAAAUGAGAGCUUCAUGAGAGUGUAUUUGGUUGGUAGAACAUAGGUCCCAGACCUUCUCCCUGGGAGCUGGAAGAGAUGCUGGGAAAUUCUGCCCUGGAAAAAUAAAACUCACAAUGUGGGAAACAAAGAAAAUGUACAGCAGGGGUUUAACAGAAUGACAGCUACAGUUUAGACUCCUGUGGUACAGUUGGCUUUCCCAGGCUCCCGGCGUCCAUGCUGUCUCGGCGCUAUCUCGCAGCCUGACGCCACGCGCCAUCUGCUGGCCUUGAGCUGCAUAGCUCUAGAGUAACUUCAGAGGCCACGGGGGAACAAAGAGCACUCGCCUACUUGACUGAGCUCCGACAGGCCGUCCCUCUGCUUCAGGUGUAGGCGUGAACAAGUCCAGACCACUACCUUAACAGGUAUGAGGAAAAUGAAGACUCUCCUAUUUUGGCACGUAUCUCAAAAUUGUCAUCAUUCACUUAAAGUGCAUAACCACAGAGACCUUCCUACUUAUUUUCUCUGGUGUUUUGAAGUUUUGUCAUGGGAAGAAAAUAGCGCUUCUAGAAACAUGAACUAGACUAAUUACUAAUGGAUUCUUUCUCUUACAUUUUGUACAGUGGAAUAAGGGCUAUUAAUUCAUUAAGCAGUUGGCUUGGAACCUUCUCUGACGACUCUUUGCAAAGAGAGAGAGGUCUAGAAGACUUGUGGGAAGGGAGGAAGUGGUGGUACCUGAUAUUUUCCAAUUUUCCGCAGGUCACUGAUGGGAACUUUGACCAGCAUCCUUGUUCCUCCCUCAACUUAUGGUCACCCUAAAAAAGCUAAGGCAUAGAUUUCAAAUUCUGGAGCCAGUUUUUGUAUUUAGGUCUCCAAGUACAGAGAGAAACUGGCAGACAGGGGUGGAGAAGUAUUGAGAACGAAUUCGGACACCCUGAAAGCGGAGUUCUAGAUCCAGUGUUGCCAGCAACGAGCCAAGAGACCUUUCUUCACAAGUUGAUUUACCUUUCCAUGUUUCAGUUUUCUCAUAAUUCCUGCCCUUAUUCCCUUCUCACCACCCCUGAUCCCCUCCCCUUUCCUGAUUGGGUAACAGGACAGGAAGCAGCAGAGCAUUCUAUGAAGCUUCCUCCUCAACGUCCUAGAGUAGCGGGUCUCAGUCUUCACUACACAGUCAAGUCCCAUGGUGCAUUUUUCAAACUUGCAUACCUGGCCCUUCCUGUGCUGAAUUCUGGUCUGCCCAUAAUUUGCUCCCUCCUUUCUCACUGUUUUCCUUUCUCCCUUCCUUGUUUUCUUUCCUAUCCCUUGCUGUCUCUGUUAGAACUUCUUUUUCCUGGUAUCUAGCCAAUCUCUUAACCCUGUUUUACUUUACUGUCCUAAGAUGCUGUCUUCUCAUGCCUACAUGUACUUUCUUUAAAAAAAAAACUGUUUAAAAAACAUUGUGUGGGAGGAGCCAAGAUGGCCAAAUAGGAACAGCUCCAGCCUACAGCUCCCAGCGUGAGCGAUGCAGAAGAUGGGUGAUUUCUGCAUUUCCAUCUGAGGUACCAGGUUCAUCUCACUAGGGAGUGCCAGACAGUGGGCACAGGUCAGUGGGUGCACGCACCAUGCGCGAGCCGAAGCAGGGCGAGGCUUUGCCUCUCUCAGGAAGCCCAAGGGGUCAGGGAGUUCCCUUUCCUAGUCAAAGAAAGUGGUGACAGACGGCACCUGGAAAAUCGGGUCACUCCCGAAUACUGCGCUUUUCCAACGGGCUUAAAAACUGGCGCACCGGGCCGGGCGCGGUGGCUCACGCCUGUAAUCCCAGCACUUUGGGAGGCCGAGGCGGGCGGAUCACGAGGUCAGGAGAUCGAGACCAUCCCG